AUUGAACGCUAGCGGGAUGCUUUACACAUGCAAGUCGAACGGAGUGGCGCACGGGUGGGUAAUAUAUCUGAACGUGCCCAGUAGCGAGGGAUCACUACUCGAAAGUAUGACUAAUACCGCAUACUAUUGGCGCGGCCGAUUUCGGAUUAGCUAGUUGGUGGGGUAAAGGCUCACCAAGGCCACGAUCCGUAGCUGGUGUGAGAGGACGACCAGCCACACUGGGACUGAGACACGGCCCAGACUCCUACGGGAGGCAGCAGUGGGGAAUUUUGGACAAUGGGGGAAACCCUGAUCCAGCCAUCCCGCGUGUAUGAUGAAGGCCUUCGGGUUGUAAAGUACUUUUGGCAGAGAAGCGGUACCUGCAGAAUAAGCACCGGCUAACUACGUGCCAGCAGCCGCGGUAAUUC
rnacentral:rRNA from 1 species